rnacentral:rRNA from 1 species
GAUGAACGCUGGCGGCGUGCCUAAUACAUGCAAGUCGAGCGAACAGACGAGGAGCUUGCUCCUCUGACGUUAGCGGCGGACGGGUGAGUAACACGUGGAUAACCUACCUAUAAGACUUGGAUAACUUCGGGAAACCGGAGCUAAUACCGGAUAAUAUAUUGAACCGCAUGGUUCAAUAGUGAAAGACGGUUUUGCUGUCACUUAUAGAUGGAUCCGCGCCGCAUUAGCUAGUUGGUAAGGUAACGGCUUACCAAGGCAACGAUGCGUAGCCGACCUGAGAGGGUGAUCGGCCACACUGGAACUGAGGCACGGUCCAGACUCCUACGGGAGGCAGCAGUAGGGAAUCUUCCGCAAUGGGCGAAAGCCUGACGGAGCAACGCCGCGUGAGUGAUGAAGGUCUUCGGAUCGUAAAACUCUGUUAUUAGGGAAGAACAAAUGUGUAAGUAACUAUGCACGUCUUGACGGUACCUAAUCAGAAAGCAACGGCUAACUACGUG